UGGGGAUUAGUCUAGCGGUAGGACACCUGACUCUGGAUCAGGCAGCGGAGGUUCGAAUCCUCCAUCCCCAGCCA
rnacentral:tRNA from 1 species